GUGUCAGCAGCCGCGGUAAUACGGAGGGAGCGAACGUUGUUCGGAUUCACUGGGCGUAAAGGGCGUGUAGGCGGCUUGGUAAGUCAGGGGUGAAAUCCCGCGGCUCAACCGCGGAGUUGCCUUUGAAACUGCCGAGCUUGAGGCCGUGAGAGGAGACUGGAAUUCCCAGUGUAGCGGUGAAAUGCAUAGAUAUUGGGAAGAACACCAGUGGCGAAGGCGAGUCUCUGGCACGGAUCUGACGCUGAGGCGCGAAAGCUAGGGGAGCAAACGGGAUUAGAUACCCCCGUAGUCC
rnacentral:rRNA from 1 species